GGAGGAGGCGGCGGCGGCAGCGCCAGAGACGCACAAAAAUGGAGAGGCAAAAUUGGAAAGGCUGGAGUGAUCUACUACAGGACAGACCUAGAAGAAAAAGCAACUGAACACAACAUUUUGUCAAAGGAACCAGCCCAAACUGUUCCUUUAAAAAAGCCCAACAAUUUUGGUGGUUUCCUCAACAACUUUUGAGGUGUCCUGGUUUUUACUUUUUGAAAUAUCGUAUGGUAUCAGCUGUGCCAACAAUGCCUUCCUAGUGUCUGUAUAGGACAAAUAAGCAAGGACCCACAGUUAAGAAUAAAUGGGCACAAUGCUUACAUUUUUUUUUAAGGCCACAUAAGCUAGUGGGAAGAUAUUUCAUUUUCUCAGGACACACGGCUGCCGACCUGAAAGUCACCAGCAUUUAACAACAGCAAAAACUUUUACGAGGACUCCAGUGUGAAAUUGCUGGAUUAGAAUUUAUGAGUACAGUAAGUUUAAUCCUAUGUAUUCAGAUCAGGAAUUUCUGUCUCGUGGUCUCUUGUAUUUCAUGACCUUUUGGCCCAGUUGUUCACAAUUGUUUUCUCUAUAGACAUAUAUGUGAAUAUAUGUUUGAUGAACUGGGCUCUAGUUCACCAAGUCUUAUGCUGCAAUAAAUUGGAGUCUCUUCAAGGUGCCACAA